rnacentral:rRNA from 1 species
CAGCAGCCGCGGUAAUACCGAGGGUGCGAGCGUUAAUCGGAUUUACUGGGCGUAAAGCGUGCGUAGGCGGCUAAUUGAGUCGGAUGUGAAAUCCCCGAGCUUAACUUGGGAAUUGCAUUCGAUACUGGUUAGCUAGAGUGUGGGAGAGGAUGGUAGAAUUCCAGGUGUAGCGGUGAAAUGCGUAGAGAUCUGGAGGAAUACCGAUGGCGAAGGCAGCCAUCUGGCCUAACACUGACGCUGAGGUACGAAAGCAUGGGGAGCAAACAGGAUUAGAUACCCCGGUAGUCCCUGUCUCUUAUAA